rnacentral:rRNA from 1 species
AGUGAACGCUGGCGGUAGGCCUAACACAUGCAAGUCGAACGGCAGCACAGUAAGAGCUUGCUCUUACGGGUGGCGAGUGGCGGACGGGUGAGGAAUACAUCGGAAUCUACUUUUUCGUGGGGGAUAACGUAGGGAAACUUACGCUAAUACCGCAUACGACCUACGGGUGAAAGCAGGGGAUCUUCGGACCUUGCGCGAUUGAAUGAGCCGAUGUCGGAUUAGCUAGUUGGCGGGGUAAAGGCCCACCAAGGCGACGAUCCGUAGCUGGUCUGAGAGGAUGAUCCGCCACACUGGAACUGAGACACAGUCCAGACUCCUACGGGAGGCAGCAGUGGGGAAUAUUGGACAAAGGGCGCAAGCCUGAUCCAGCCAUACCGCGUGAGUGAAGAAGGCCUUCGGGUUGUAAAGCCCUUUUGUUGGGAAAGAAAAGCAGCAGGUUAAUACCCCGCUGUUCUGACGGUACCCAAAGAAUAAGCACCGGCUAACUUCGUG